rnacentral:tRNA from 1 species
GCUUUCGUGGUGUAAUGGUCAGCACACUUGGCGCGCAUUCCGGAGGUUCGAGGUUCGAGUCCCGGUGAAGGCA